GAUGAACGCUGGCGGCGUGCCUAAUACAUGCAAGUCGAGCGAACGGACGAGAAGCUUGCUUCUCUGAUGUUAGCGGCGGACGGGUGAGUAACACGUGGAUAACCUACCUAUAAGACUGGGAUAACUUCGGGAAACCGGAGCUAAUACCGGAUAAUAUUUUGAACCGCAUGGUUCAAAAGUUAAAUACGGUCUUGCUGUCACUUAUAGAUGGAUCCGCGCUGCAUUAGCUAGUUGGUAAGGUAACGGCUUACCAAGGCAACGAUGCAUAGCCGACCUGAGAGGGUGAUCGGCCACACUGGAACUGAGACACGGUCCAGACUCCUACGGGAGGAAGCAGUAGGGAAUCUUCCGCAAUGGGCGAAAGCCUGACGGAGCAACGCCGCGUGAGUGAUGAAGGUCUUCGGAUCGUAAAACUCUGUUAUUAGGGAAGAACAUAUGUGUAAGUAACUGUGAACAUCUUGACGGUACCUAAUCAGAAAGCCACGGCUAACUACGUG
rnacentral:rRNA from 1 species